GCGAAUCUCAAAAAGACCGGUCUCAGUUCGGAUUGUGGGCUGCAACCCGCCCACAUGAAGUCGGAGUUGCUAGUAAUCGCGGAUCAGCAUGCCGCGGUGAAUGCGUUCCCGGGCCUUGUACACACCGCCCGUCACACCAUGGAAGUUGGGGGCGCCCGAAGCCAGUGGCCUAACCGCAAGGAGGGAGCUGUCUAAGGUGAAACCAAUGACUGGGGUGAAGUCGUAACAAGGUAUC
rnacentral:rRNA from 1 species